GGGAUGAUGGCAUUGCCAGCAUCCUCAGGCUACCAACGACACCAGGAACCUUCCCGGCAGCAUCUUAUGCUCCCCCUGACGUGGGCCAGGCCACGACGCCAAAGUGCAGGCCGGCAAAAGCCAGUAUCCUGGGCCAGGAGGACCUCAGGAACCCAGGAUCUGAUCACUACGGCCCUUGGUUUAUGCCGUAUGCUCACGACUGGGCCAGUGUGUUUCUUCUUAUGUGCGUAUGUGUAUAAUAAACCCUGUGAGCCGACCACCAACACGAGAACCACAGCAUCGUCCAUCACUUGCUUCUACUGAGGGCCUGUGCUCUCCCUCACCCAGGCUUGCUGUGACGCCAGCAAGAUGGGUGAGCAGAGGGUCUGCACAGUGAGUGGCGAGCUGGGGUCUGAACCCCAGCCUGUGCAGCUCUGCGGCUGCGCUCCCUUAGCUCUGGGCAGCUGGUGCCCCGAUCAGCUCCAGUGGGCAGGCUGGGUCUGCCUCG